rnacentral:pre_miRNA from 11 species
CCAUCGGGGUGCAAAAGUGCUUAUAGUGCAGGUAGUGUGUUGGCAUCUACUGCAGUGUUGGCACUUCCGUGCCACGAUGG